AGGUAAGAAGUGCUACCCACACUUUAACUUCGAACUAAAGAGAGAAUUCAAUUCCUUACCCA
rnacentral:tRNA from 1 species